CUCUUAUCCAGAGAGGUGGAGGGAUAGGCCCGAUGAAACCCAGCAACCGGCAUACAAGUGCAAGGUGCUAAUUCCUACAGCCAACUAUAACUUAUAGUAGCGGCUGAGAGAUGAGAG
rnacentral:ncRNA from 1 species